UACGGGGGAUGCAAGCGUUAUCCGGAUUUAUUGGGUUUAAAGGGUGCGUAGGCUGUGAGGUAAGUCAGCGGUGAAGUGCCCCCGCUCAACGGGGUGAAGUGCCAUUGAUACUGCCUUGCUGGAAUGCGGAUGCCGUGGGAGGAAUGUGUGGUGUAGCGGUGAAAUGCAUAGAUAUCACACAGAACACCGAUUGCGAAGGCAUCUCACGAAUCCGCGAUUGACGCUGAUGCACGAAAGCGUGGGUAUCAAACAGG
rnacentral:rRNA from 1 species